rnacentral:rRNA from 2 species
GUCAGCGACUUAUAUUCUGUAGCAAGGUUAACCGUAUAGGGGAGCCGAAGGGAAACCGAGUCUUAACUGGGCGUUAAGUUGCAGGGUAUAGACCCGAAACCCGGUGAUCUAGCCAUGGGCAGGUUGAAGGUUGGGUAACACUAACUGGAGGACCGAACCGACUAAUGUUGAAAAAUUAGCGGAUGACUUGUGGCUGGGGGUGAAAGGCCAAUCAAACCGGGAGAUAGCUGGUUCUCCCCGAAAGCUAUUUAGGUAGCGCCUCGUGAACUCAUCUUCGGGGGUAGAGCACUGUUUCGGCUAGGGGGUCAUCCCGACUUACCAACCCGAUGCAAACUGCGAAUACCGAAGAAUGUUAUCACGGGAGACACACGGCGGGUGCUAACGUCCGUCGUGAAGAGGGAAACAACCCAGACCGCCAGCUAAGGUCCCAAAGUCACAGUUAAGUGGGAAACGAUGUGGGAAGGCUCAGACAGCCAGGAUGUUGGCUUAGAAGCAGCCAUCAUUUAAAGAAAGCGUAAUAGCUCACUGGUCGAGUCGGCCUGCGCGGAAGAUGUAACGGGGCUAAACUGUGCACCGAAGCUGCGGCAGCGACGCUUAUGCGUUGUUGGGUAGGGGAGCGUUCUGUAAGCCUGCGAAGGUGUCCUGUGAGGGAUGCUGGAGGUAUCAGAAGUGCGAAUGCUGACAUAAGUAACGAUAA